rnacentral:rRNA from 1 species
CAUUGAACGCUGGCGGCAGGCUUAACACAUGCAAGUCGAGCGGGGCACUUCGGUCCUAGCGGCGAACGGGUGAGGAAUGCUUGGGAAUCUGCCUAGUAGUGGGGGAUAACGUUUCGAAAGGAACGCUAAUACCGCAUACGCCCUACGGGGGAAAGGGGGGGAUCUUCGGACCUCUCGCUAUUAGAUGAGCCCAAGUCGGAUUAGCUAGUUGGUGAGGUAAAGGCUCACCAAGGCGACGAUCCGUAGCUGGUCUGAGAGGAUGAUCAGCCACACUGGAACUGAGACACGGUCCAGACUCCUACGGGAGGCAGCAGUGGGGAAUAUUGGACAAUGGGCGAAAGCCUGAUCCAGCCAUGCCGCGUGUGUGAAGAAGGCCUUCGGGUUGUAAAGCACUUUAAGCGAGGAGGAAUGGCUCUGGGUUAAUACCCUUGAGCAGUGACGUUACUCGCAGAAUAAGCACCGGCUAACUCUGUGC